AAAUCAGAAGAGAUAAAGUCUUCAACCUGCCCAAGACAGUAAAGUGAUACAUCUGACAGGGCAGGUGAAACAGUAGACUGCAGUGUCAGAAAAAGUAUGACAUGUCACAUCAAGCAGUCUACCUCAAGCUACUCGAGAUCUGCGAAAACAUUUGAAUAGCUUCCAAUGGCUACUUUCCAACGAAAGAAUUGGGAAGAUGUAUAAAUGUAGAAGAGUUUCAAAGAUCAAAGGCUGCUGGAGUUGUGAGUUUUGGAGAGAAGGUGGACUGAUCGAAUCAAGUGAUAGUGAGUCCAGAGGCUCACUCUACGAUCCACCAAGAACACUCAAAAGUCAGAUCAAGCAAGAAGUAGAAGUGUGAGUUCUACUAUGUAGAAGUGAGAGCUCUACUACAUGAAGAGUGUUCUGAACUGUCGAGAGAAAGAAGAGCAUCAUGCCAUCUGGAUGUCCAUCAUAGGAAGACUCUAAGUACAACAGAGAAAAGCUUAUGGUCAACUUAGCAAGUCCAUCAUAGGAAGGCAUCGAGUAGCAAGAAGGGAGAUCAUAAAAGCCAUCUUGGUGUCAAGCAUGAGAAAGCUUUUAAGUACCUUACAGAAGAGCUUACAGUCAUCUUAGAAGCCUCUUAUGUGCAGCCAUCAAGUACCAAGGAGAAUGAUCUUCAAGGCAGUUCAUCAAGGGGUCAUCCGGAGUAGUUGAGCAACCUAAGAAGCUGAGCAUCAUGCAACACUCAACUGCUCUUCAAGGAUGAUCAAGCCAAGCUGCUAGGGAUAGAAGAUGUUCAGAGCAUGAAGACAUCUUAGCAGCUCAGCACCGACUCCAACAACAACAAACAAACAACUCAACGAAGCCAGGGCCUGAGGGGUCCUUGUCCAGAGGGACUAAAUGAAGCAGGGCCAAAAGGGUCCUUGUCCGGAGGGACUAAACAAAGCAGGGCCAAAGGGUCCUUGUCCAAAGGGACUAAAUGAAGUUCCAAGCCUGCUGGGCUUGAAGAGUUCCUAGGGAACUAGAGGAGUCCCAAGGCUGCUGGCCUUGAAGAGUUCUUAGUGAACUGAAGUCCCAAGGCUGCUGGCCUUGAAGGAAUCGUAGAGAUUCAGGGUGCUGCCCUUCCUUAGUGGAAAUCCUGCUAGUUGAAAGCAGAAGAGUGGAUUAGGAGCUUGAGUCUCUGAACCACUUAAAACCCCUUGUGUCUUUUACAUUAUGUCAUUUACAUUAUGUACAUUAACUGCUAUAACUGCUAUGUAUGUUUUAACUGCUUACAACUAAACUAACCCAAUGAACAUUGUACGUAUAAUUAUGAAUAUAUCAAUGAAGGGGAAUCUUUUACUUAUUCCGCUGUGCUUGAAAAGAUUCUUAUGUUUGUCAUAUACUCAAAUAUGAACAAUACAACAUAAACCAGAAAAGUAUUUGAAAUAAAAAGGAUCUAUUCAACCCCCCCUUCUAGAUCUAUUGUGCCCUCUGGGAACUAACAAUUGGUAUCAGAGCAGGUUCUCAUGCUAUAUUCAAAAGCUAAUCGCUUUGAGUCUGAUCCCAGGCACUAACAUUGUUCUAAACUUAGUUUAGUAGUAAGUAACUUGUUAUAUGCAGAUGAGCUCACAUGUUGGAAAUAUUGUGUAUAGGUUAAAUGUGUAUAUACACCUGAAGCUGCUCAGAUUGGUCCAUGGUCUCUAUUGAUACAUCAACAAGACCAAUCCUAGCCUGCAGUCAAUCUUGUAGUCCUAAGACCAGACGAGAACACUCAAGAGACGUCAAUGACAAAGAGUCAAGCACCCACCAGUCUGAAAGAUGAAGAAGCCAUACAUGCUAAGAAAUGCUUAUCGAGAGAAGAAAGAAGAUCUUCUCAAACUUAUGUCUGGCCAACCAACAGCUGGGUGCAAACUCUGUCAGCUAAAGGAUGUCAAAGAUCUUAAUGCUGAGAUUCUCUUGGCCUAUAUCUUCAAGACCACUACUGAUUGAUUAAAGGCCAGCAAGAGCAAUAAGCUGUCAGGAGCAAAAGUAAAGCUAUGCUCAUCAAUACCUAAACUCAGUAUAUCUAAGGUAAAUGACUGUUUAGUAACUGACAGUAAAAAGGUACGGUUCCUCACUAUUAUAAAUGUAUACAUCAUAAUUGCAUCUUCUUAUGAACUAUAACAGUAUUCUGUCAAGGAGUCAUAAUCUGCCUAAAAAGGUGAAGAGAGAAAGUAACCUGAGGAUGGAAACUCAAAUGACUAUAAACUUUCUCUCCAUCCAAGUUUUAGGUUGAAGAUGACAUCUUGAAGGAAAUCUGAAAUGGGUCAUAAGAGCAUCACAGGCCUAAUGAACUUUAUGUGAAGUAAUCUUUGCUGAUGGGUUAGUAUGUAUGUACAAGCCUAUGUUCUAAGUGUUUGACAACACACAGAGCAUGAUCAGUUUUGCAAGAGGAUCUUGCUGAUUCGCAGAAACUGAUCACCUCAAUGAAUCAACUAGAUACUCCUAAAUCGUAGAGUUGAUUCUCACUCUGUGAACACUUAAACAUUGUGAACAUAACCCAGUAAAUGAUGAAACCAUCAUAGAUAGAGAGUGUGUUAUUAAAUGUCAAAUCACACACACUCACCAUCAUGCAUCUCAAAAUAUAUUAUCAUAAGAUAGUUGCAUGUAUGGAUAUGUCUGUUGAUGAUAAAUAUGAUGAUUAUCCAAAUAAGAGGAACAGGGGUUUAGAAAACUAACCUAGCAGGACCCAUUUAACUAUGGGUACCAAAAAUAGAAAUAUAUUUAAACCUGCAGGUAUUUGGACAGUCUGACCACACUAAGGAAUGAUGAAGCAGAAGACUUCAGUCAAGAAGAUACAACCAGCAGAAGGCUAAGGACUGUUCAGAAAUGAGUCUGAUAAAGUUCCUAUAUGUUCAAGCCUGUCCUUGAAGACCCUCUGAGCUAACCGGAAUGGAGCUCACAUGGCUGCACAUCUGUAUAUGAGAGCAUGCCAUGAAACAGAAGAUAAAGAGGAUUCUAUGUGCCCAUAUCAAGAAAGACAUGCUUUAUGGAAAGGAUCCUCAAGGGAAGCUCACAACAGAAGAUCAUUGAGCUUAAGACAAAAGGAGUUCUUUAUGAAGCAGAACUUCUCAAAACAAAGGACUGACAAAGAAGACUACGUUCGUAGUGCUGUCAAAUGAUCGUAGAGUGAUCAAUCCUGAAAAUACUCAUCUCUACGAUACAAGGAAAACUAAGCAACGAUGAUGAUUCCAGUCAGAAGGAGAAAUGCUGGGCAGCCUUCAAAUAAACAUGAAGAAGGAAUCACAUCUAUCUGAGAAGACAACAUCAACAAUGGGGGAGCAGUGAUCUGUUAAGGAACAACAACAACACUAUUAAACCUAGAAGAGAUGUACUAGCUACAGAGUCCCAAAACUUUGUGGCUGAUGAACCAUAUGAAGAUCCAUAGUCAGUAGGAACGUCUCAAAACGUACUACUGAUAACCCUUCAGCCACCCAAUCAAUAAUCGCGAAGUUCCUACGAUCAAACACAUGAUCGUAGUGUAAGAGCAGAAGGACACCACGAUUUCAGCAAUGCAGAUAUCCAGAGCUGGUAGAAAGACCUCCCCAUCAGAAAAGGUCUAAUGAGAUGUCAUUGAAAAUCACUGUCUUAGUAUUUCAUCUGGAAAGCGCCUUAGGGACAAACCUGACCCUUAGCUAACUCUAAGAGGUUGGCCCUUCCUGAGCUACCUUAUCCCAGAAGGAAUGCUUGAUCUAGUUCAUCUCAAAAGAACCAAGUCAGUCAACGAUUGUAGAGUUGAACUUGAAGAGGACUAAAUGAUUGUAGUACAAACUCAAUGAUCGUAAUGCUUUCUAAACGAUCGUAGUGCAACCUCAGCGACAGAAGAAGACAACUCAAAGAUCGUAGUCCUACCAAAGGGUAUUCCAUUUCAAGGAGCAUGAAGAAUGAGACAUCUGCUAAGCCAUUCAAGUUGAGGAGAUAAGUUCGAAUACAUCAGUGAUUGAGCUAUGCUGGAUCGAAGUAAGGAGGAAAGACGAAGCCAUCCACUGCAGAAUCUCUCAGAAAUUGAUCGUUGAGUAAACAAAUGAAAUCGUAGAGUUUAUAGCUAUCUCAUCAUGUUACUCUACGAAUCAAAAGGUCAACGGUCAAAGCCACGUCAAUUAAACGUCCACUCCUCUAAUAACUGAAAAGUUAUGGGGAGUUACAGCUCAUUACUGGGCAACGUGCAACCAAUGGACAGUUAACACAUCACUGAGUAUGCAGAGUUAGAAGGAACUACCAUAAAGACAAGUUCAAAUCUGCAGACAGUUACCAAAAGAUAUCGAACCUUUCUCCCUCCCAUUUUCAAAACCCUAGAAAGCUUUUCAAGAGCAAAAUCAGUUAACCUUCCAGAGUCUAACCAAAUCUUAGUCAGCCAUCUCGCAUAAUCUCUCUAAAUCAAACACCCACAGUCUUCGAACGAUGGAAAUGGAGAACUGGCAAGUUAUCACCAGCAUUCAGCUUGGAACCAAAUCGUUUGCAAAUUCUGAGAAGAAGUUCAGGGACGUCCUUAGACUCGUAAAGGAAGCUAGGUUUUCAGAAUGUCUCGAGGCGAGUACUCGUGUAUACAUUGACCUGGUUAAGGAGUUCUACUCAAACAUCUCCAUAAACUCUGGAACUCUAUCUACCAAGGUUAAAGGUCAGAUUCUGAAGCUGAAAUCUUCUGACCUUAAUCAAUGCCUAGGGUUCCCUAGCCAAGGGCUGAAGAACCUUGAAGAUGUGAACGUUGAGCAAGCGAAGGAGUUGAUGGGAUAUCAAAGAAACUCUAGCUUCAAAGAUAUGAAGAAGAAGGAGUUCCCUGAAGAGUAUGAGUUCCUAGCUGAAAUUGUAGGAAAGUGCAUUCUGUGCAAAAACACUGCACAUGAUACGGUGAUUGAUCAACAACUGAAGAUUAUGUCAGCUAUAGUGCUGAAGAAACAAAUUGACUUUGGAGCAAUUUUGUUUGAUCAUAUCUCUAAGUGGGUAGAGAAGGCUGAGAAGAAACCACUGACCAAAGUGUUUCAUGGAAGGCUGCUGAGUAUCAUACUGAAGAAAAAGCUAGGUGGAAAGAUCAAGGAUGAUGAGGGAGAAGCCCUGAAUGUGCACAAAGUAAUGUCUCCACAGUUAUUUGAAAACUGGAAGAAGAACCCCAAGGAGAACAAAAGGCUGACAGCUGGGAGCAGCAGUAGAGCCUCUGCAAAGAAGAGGAAGACAGUAAAGGCAGAGAGCUCUGAGUCCAGUGACUCUGAAGCAGCUGAAAUCACACCAGCCACGAAGAAAUCAAAAGUGGUGAAAAGAGCUAGUGAAGUGAAGAACCCACCAAGGAGAAUCUCCUCCUUGAACAAAGAUAAGGAAGAAGAAGCCCAAACUGCUGAGACCACAAAAAGAAGAAGCCGCAGGUUGCUUCAAGGGCCAGUCAGCAAGAAAGCUAAGUCCCCACAGUCAGCAUUCAGAAAUGAAAGUGAAGCUGAUGUGAUGGAAGAAAAGUGCUCAAGCUCCAUGGCUAAUUCUCAGAGAAACAACUCUGAUGAAGAUAAAGGAAUUCAGAAUGAUCAAAGUGCAUCCCAAAGUGCAACUGCCCCAACCUGCCCAGAGAAUGGGUCAGAAAAUACUAUUCUAGAAGAAGAAGAAGAACAUGUCCCCUCAAUCCAAGAAAGCUCUCAUGAUGGUUCAGAAAGUGAUGAGGCCAAGAAAGAAGAGUCUGCCGCUGCCAGUGCUGAUCUUCAAAGAAGUUUAUCUGAUGAGCAAAUGGAGUCAGAGACUGAAAAAGAAGAAGAGUUUGUCUCUCCAAUAGUUGAACCUCUACGAAGAAGGAAGAGCUACAGGCUGCAAGCCCAGUUUGCCUCCAAAAGGAACAGUAGCCAAUCAAAUGCCAUCAUUGAAUUAAGUGAUGAUGAAUCUGUAUCCCCAGGAGAAUAUGCUGAAGAAGAAGCCAGCAGUGAAGAAGAAGCAUCUAAGGAAAGUCUUGAUGAAGAAAGUUCAAAUAAUGAAAUUCAGCAAGAAGGAUUCUCUGUUGGAGAUGAUCAAGAAGAGUCUGAACAUGAAAUGUAACAUGAAGAUGAUCCCUCUGCUGAAACUGAUCUAAAUGGUUCUGGUUCUGAGAAGGAAAAAGCAGGAAAUGAUUCCAACUCUAAAGAUCAGGAAUCAGAAAACUCAGAACUCCACCCUGUUCUCUCACCUGCAAGAUUUAUCAGGAGAAUAGUAGUAGAAGUUCCCAAUGAACUAUCAGAGACUCCUCCUGACAGAUGGAUAAACCAUGGAGGUGAACAGAUCAGAAUAGUAAGAAUGACCUCCUUUGACUUGGUCAAGAACUAGAACAACAUGGAAAUGGACUGCACAACCAUUCUCUACAACCCUGAUGAUCUGCUAAUGAGAUGGUUCUUCUAGUGGAUGCCAUGGCUAAAGGCCAUUAUUGAAAAAGAUGGAAGCUACUUCAGUUGGUGUUAUAAGCAGUUUCCAAGCAUGGAACUGGUGGCUCAGAACUUUCCAAGAGUGAAGAAGUUUGCCACCAAGCUGAUCACAAACCAGCCCCACUUCAAGAUCUAUCGACAUGCUGGAAAUCUCUACAUCCCCUACGAUCGUAGGGUGGACUCUGAAGGAAGAAGAACCAUGUCCAAGAAGCUGAUCGUAGAGUCUGAUCACUCUACUACUUAUGAUGUUCAAAUCCAAUCUUAGAAGUCUCAUUAUGAUCAAGCACUGCUAACAGACACUCCAUCAUCCUCCACAUGCAAUUGGUACUCCAUAAUUGUUCAGAUUAUCCACACCUUUGAAAAUAUGUCCAAAGAUGACAAUCGUAGAGUCUAAUCCAUUGUCCAUACUGAAGCUACCAAUCAAGAGGAUCAAACUGCUUUGGAGCAGGAACUACUGAAGAGCUCUGAUGAUUUAAGCAAGAAGAUAUCUAUGCUCACUGAAGAAUCACAGAAGCAGACCGCAGUAGGAGAUGACUCUUUCCAGAACAAGCUUCAAGCUAUUUUGGCUGAUGUAUCUCUCAAACUCCAAGAGAGAGAUAACAUCUAUCAGAAGGCCAUCCAAGAUCAGAAGGCAGAAGCUCUACAAGUUCAGGAGGCCAAUGCAAAGUAGAUUGAAGCCCUCUCUGAUAAGAUUGACGAUCUAAAACAGUCCUUCUCUGUGCAACUUGAACUCGGACAGCAAGAGGUAAAGUUUGAAGUUGCAAAUUCCUCUUACCUGAUGGAGCAGCUUAUGUCCAACAUGGAGCAGCUCUCUCAAAUGAUUGAUGACAAAAAGGGGGAGAAAAAAAGUCAAAUAUAGAAGAAGAACAGAGGGUUAAGGGAGAAGAAGUCAAAGAAGAAGGUAGCAGCAGCAGAUAAAGAAUCAUCAUCUGAGGGGUGGCCUGAAGAUGAUGAUACCAAAAUCAUAGAAGCUGAAAGGAAACCAAAUCAGAAAGGUGAUGAAGGGGAGCCAAACAAAGAUAGAAGAUCAUCAUCUGAGGGGGAGCAAGAGCAAGAAGCAGAAUCAGAUGAGUAGCUGAUCAACAAGCAUCCUGGAAACAUACAUGGAGCCAAGGAGGUACAUCUCUAGUAUGUUAGUAUGUUCUGGAUCCAGGAUGUAGAAUUUAUGAAUAUAUAAUUGCCAUAUUAAUAUAAAUGACAUUCAUGAUUAACUAUUUAGAAAUACAGCUACUCACUGUAUCUAAGAUUCAUUCAUAACAUGCAUAUGCACUUAUUGUUUUUGUCAUAAUCAAAUAGGGGGAGAUUGUCAAGAAUAAACAUGUGAAUGAUAUUCCUAUUUAAUAUAUGAUUUAAUUAUGAUAUAUAUAUGAAUGAAUAUGAAAGUAUGCUUGCAUGAAGAAAAGCUGUAAAUUCCUUUGAUAGAUAAUAAAAAUAUAUGUACAAGGACUUAGAAUGAAUUGAUCAAAUAUGUUAGGUUGAUCCUACAUAAGCAAAACAGCUUUGGGAAGUCCUUAAAAAGAAAUGAUGUACAAGGACUAUAAAUAUAGAAAGAUCAAGCAUGUUAGGUUGAUCUUAUGUUGUAAUAGAUAGGCUUGUCUGAUCGUCGAGCACUGCACCAAAAGUCAUAGUCUGCCAGGAGAGUCACAGUUAACUCGGCAGCUAUCGAGGCAGAAUAGGAGUAUGCAAGAUAGUGAGAUCUCGGAGUUCGUAGACUUCCAGGAGAAACGAAGAAAGAUCAUAGUGUGUUGAGAAGAGCUUCCUCGGGAUCGUAGUGUGUUGAGGAAUUCAUGUUCAGAAUCGUAGAGACAACCUGUCUACAAGCCGAAUGACCAUCUGUCGAAGCCAAGUAUGAAACGUAGACUACACUCAGAGUCGUAGAGUUUAGCGAUGCCAAAGCUAAGACAAGGAUCGUAGGCUACACUCUGAGAUCGUAGAGUCCACUGAAUGAAUGCAGAGAUCGAAGUCGGGCAAGAUCAGAUGAAGACAACAAGCACAAGGCAGAAAUCAUAGAGUGUCAAGAUCUGAUCACGGGAUCGUAGUGUCUGCACAGCCGAAGCUGAAUCGUAGAGUGCAGAACUACGACUCCAGAAGAAGUGCUCACAAUGCUAAGUCAGGAUCGUAGAGCAGAUACGGUUCUCAACGAAUGAGCACUCCCAGAAUAUCCAAAGGUACGAAGCCUCUGGUUGGCACUGCAAAGAUGCAAUCCACAAUAAGGGAACCAGAGAGCACUCAAUGAAUGACAUGCAUGCUAGCAGGAGAACUAAGCAACAAUCCAAUCAGCAUCAAGAUUGAGUUGAAAGGCCAUUCGUGAUGAAGUCUUCCAUAAGAUGAUUCAAAGAAGACUUCAGCAGCUGACUAUGGAAAAGUCAGCUAAUGCAAUUGCUGACAAGAGAACAGAAGACAACGACCUUGGAAGUAACCAAGAUCGUAGUGUUUGCCAAACAAAGAAGGGACUGAUGGAAAGUGAACCGAGAUACUGGUCAGCCUCUGAAAAGCAAGGCUAAAGUGAUUAAGUGCCGUGUCAGAUCAUUGAUGAUAAGUGAACGGGAGAUCACAAGGAGAAAGUAAGCUGGACGCACCACAAAUCUGAAGUGUCUUAAUAUUCAGAAGGGGACCAGGACAAGGAAUCAGGCCAUCAGUAUCUGAGAACUGUCAAAGCAAACAGAAGUAUUGAAGCACUGCAUAAUACAAGGAAGGGGUGUUCUACAUUGAAGAUCCAAUCAACACUCUUCCAGAUCGUAGUGUUAACUCUACCAACCAACGAGCAACACUCAACAAGACACUACGAUCAGGUCCUUGAAGACAUGCAUCAGAAUCGUAGAGUUCGAAUACCUGAAGACUGAAGCAUUGGCAACGGUUCAAUCUGAAGAGUAAUAUUCGAACAAGUGCUUAUUGGGAGCAUCAAUGCAAAAGUACAACCUCUGAUCUAGAAAUCAGAAGAGAUAAAGUCUUCAACAUGCCCAAGACAGUAAAGUGAUACAUCUGACAGGGCAGGUGAAAUAGUAGACUGCAGUGUCAGAAAAAGUAUGACAUGUCACAUCAAGCAGUCUACCUCAAGCAACUCGAGAUCUGCGAAGACAUUUGAAUAGCUUCCAACGGCUACUUUCCAACAGAAGAAUUGGGAAGAUGUAUAAAUGUAGAAGAGUUUCAAAGAUCAAAGGCUGCUGGAG
rnacentral:lncRNA from 1 species